AAAGGAUAUUGGUCAAUAGCCUAACGGCUGAACCAGCAACUUGGAAGAAUGUAUAGCGAGAGCUGAUUGCAUAGAUACAUAUUUCAUGCAAUAUCGACUUAGUCGAAUAAAAUUCUAGGUAGAAUUAUGAUCAUGACAUUGUUUGCCUAUAAGUCUUGACCAAAUUACGUGCCAGCAGUCGCGGUAAAACGUAGCAGACUAGUGUUAUUCAUCUUUAAUAGGUUUAAAGGGUACCUAGACGGUAGAUAAAGCCUUAAAGAGGGACUGAUUUGCUAGAGUUACUUGUGAGGGAGCUAUAAUGUACUGAUGGAGUAGAGAUAAAAUUUUACAAUACCUAAUUUCGAAAGAAAUAUUUAUGGCACAGGUUUAGGCGAAAGCAUCUUCUUAUGUGAUAACUGACGUUGAGGACGAAGGACCCCUAUUCCUCACUGCUACUAAUGUUCC
rnacentral:rRNA from 1 species